UUUUUUGUUAUCGGUUUGAAAGUCUAACCUAUAAGAGUACAAAAGUGAGUUUGUGUUUUCUGUCAAGAACUUGAUACCAGCUCUUGAUGGCUAGAAAGAUAAACUGGGGUAAAAGGUGUUGUUCCAGAAUAGCAGAAUCUGGAUGGCUGAAAGAGAAGCAAUGUAAACUAGCGAUUCAUCUUUGUGCAUCUAUUGUCUUUAGGGACAGAAGGAGCCACACAUAGAAUCAUCAAGGACCAGUUGCUUGUAGGGUGCAGGUGAAAUGACCAGUCUCUGGUGCAACUGACCAAUCGUGUGAGAUGACCUCCCUGACCUGGAAACCAUUACUGCUCUUCAGGCCACGUCGACACAAAAACACCGUUUCGUCAUUACAUGCCACUCACACCUGUUCCAAGAGGUCAGUAUUACUUUCAGAACCGCAUUAUCUCAUUCGUAAUUAGUACUUGCCUCCUCCUGCCCCGCCAAACAUGCCCAUAGUACUUGCCCCCUUCUUCACCACCAUCCCCAUAGUACUUGCCUCCUCCUGUUGCGCCAAACAUGCCCAUAGUACUUGCCCCC
rnacentral:sRNA from 1 species